ACAGCAUCAAUCAUAUUUUAGAUUCUUAUAUAUAAAAUUGGGCAUACGCCCAGACAGCCUGUGUCUGAAUUGAGGCUGAACAGUCAGGAUUUCCAUCAUUUCUGUUCAGUGGUUUUGUCUGCAUUCUUGGAGUGGAUGCAACCCCUUCCAGACGUUUGGAAACUGGAAGAGCAGACCAUGCAGUGACGGAGGAGCUGGGAGGACAGAGAGAGCCGGUCUGUGCAGGACCUGCAUAGGGAGGUCAGGAGAGGAGCUGCCUUCGUAGUUUUCAGGCCCACGGAUGACAGUAACCAGCCCCCGGGCCGGGGCGUCCUCUCCAUGCAUGGGCUGACCUAUGGAGUCAUUCGUUUGGACUCGGAAGAGAAGCUCUCCGUGCUCACCAUGUAGGAUGUCGGCCUCGUGAUGCCUGGAGGUCGAUACGAGCGACAUACAAAUUGGAGUUGGGCAG
rnacentral:lncRNA from 1 species